rnacentral:lncRNA from 1 species
UAUUACAUAAAUUCACAUUUGCAAAGUCCUCAUGGACCAAGUUUUGUUUAUUUUGUUUCUGGGCGGGCCAUGCUAAAUGUAAGCUUGGGAGGCAUUGUGAGAAUGGUAUAUGCUUGUUUCUUCCACAAGUCAAGCUGAGCUCGGCUCGGUUGAAGAAUGGAGGAGCUUCAAACGGCCACAAUCACAGACAACGCGAGGGCAUGGCAGAGCUGAAUCGACGGCGAGGCGGCGGCCGAUGGCUGGAACGGGUCUUUCUGUUCGCAGAUUGUUGAUGCGAGGGCAUAGAAAAACUCGCAUCGCUCUGAUGGCCGAGGAGGCAUAUUGAGGGCUUGAUCCAGCAGGUCAACUAGCGCCCCUCGACCAGCACGUCAAACAGUAUUUGGCACUGCCGAGAUUACAAGAGUGCACUUCAGAAAUUUUUAUCAAUUAGAGCUGACGUCUCGAUAAAACCAGCAGUCCGGUAGAGCUAUCUUGUUAGGUGUGUGGAUCUACCAUACUACUACAUGAUUGUGUAAUAGUAGACUUGGAGAGUUGGGAGUG